UUGACAGCCCUGGAGACUGGAGUCCUCUAUUUAUCCACUGAACAGGUACAGCACUGAGAGUAGCUUCCCACAUGCUGCCCAUCCAACAUGCCCUAUCCUGUUCUGGAGAGACCACUCUCAGAGUGAGUGGAAGGGGAGUUUAUUGUCCCUGGUUCUUUCGCUCCUUGAUCUCU
rnacentral:sRNA from 1 species